GGAAUUUUGGGCAAUGGGCGAAAGCCUGACCCAGCAACGCCGCGUGAAGGAUGAAAUCCCUCGGGAUGUAAACUUCGCAAGAACGGGAAGAAUAAGUAGGGGACAAUACCCCCUAUGAUGACGGUACCGUUUGGAAGAGCAGGCUAACUCCGAGCCAGCAGCCGCGGUAAUACGGGGGGAGCAAGCGUUGUUCGGAUUGACUGGGCGUACAGGGCGCGUAGGCGGUCAGCACAAGUCAGUUGUGAAAUCUCCGAGCUUAACUCGGAAAGGUCAACUGAUACUGUGCGACUAGAGUGCAGAAGGGGCAACUGGAAUUCUCGGUGUAGCGGUGAAAUGCGUAGAUAUCGAGAGGAACACCUGCGGCGAAGGCGGGUUGCUGGGCUGACACUGACGCUGAGGCGCGAAAGCUAGGGGAGCGAAC
rnacentral:rRNA from 1 species